UACAGAGGUCUCAAGCGUUUGUUCGGAUCAUUGGGCGUAAAGGGUGCGUAGGCGGCGGGGCAAGUCAGGUGUGAAAUCUCGGGGCUCAACCCCGAAACUGCACUUGAUACUGCCUUGCUUGAGUACUGGAGAGGAGACUGGAAUUUACGGUGUAGCAGUGAAAUGCGUAGAUAUCGUAAGGAAGACCAGUGGCGAAGGCGAGUCUCUGGACAGUUACUGACGCUGAGGCACGAAGGCCAGGGGAGCAAACGGG
rnacentral:rRNA from 1 species